CAUAAUGAGACAUAAUGAUGCACAUCACAACAAUUCUUUGGUACAAAUCUGCACACAAUGGAAUUUAGAUAGAAACUCAUUUAUUUAUGUAUCGAGUUUGCCAGAGGGUACAAAACGUCACUGCAUUGCUGCAGUGCUGCCACUGUUCCUUCUGCAAUGCUGACAUUUUGAAUGAAUGGCUGUGCAGCAUUGCCCAUUGCAGACUGCUGGAAGGCUCCAGGAGGGACUCGGCUCCCACUGUGUGAUGGCUGUGUGAGUGGCAUACUUUGCUGAAGUGCGUCCAGAUCCUUUUUUGGGAAGCUGGGAGGCGUCUCCUUGCUGUGAGGACCAUAUCUGGCAACUGAACAGGGAUUACCUGAGCAGAGGAGCUAGUAACUACUAUAACUGGCAGAGUGAUGGCAAAAAUCCUGGUGCAGGGAACAAAUGGACGCUGCUGAAAAGAGAAAGAAAAAAAGAUGGAGAAGAAGAAAAGAAAUGAUGCUGGAGCUGGCAAAAGCUUUUCACUCUGAGUUCUGGAGCAGGAGAAACGCUUGCUGGGAAAAAAAGACUGCAACUGGAGGUACGCUGCAGCUCUCCUUUUUUGCUGCUGGAAAGAAGUUAAUAAAUGCAGUCACAAUACAAGCCCCCUUUUGGAGCAUACGACUCUUUGCAAGAAGGAGAGCAGAGAGUACGUGGCUACUCCUCUGCAGCUGUGUUUCCAAGUCAGCUGGUGCUUAUUUUCUAAUUGGGAACCACAACAGCAUAUGGGCUCACCUUUGGAGCUCUUCUUUUUGCUCCUCAUGUCCAUUGUAAUCAUUGACUCCAGAUGGGCGUUGACGUUCCUAAUACCAUCCUUACAUGGACAGGACUUUCAUAUGUCCUUCCCGAGACUAAGAAACAAAGAAAAAUAAGAAACAAGGGGAAUUCACCAGGGAAUCUGGAAAAAAUGGGAAAAUUCCUAGGGUUUAUGAAGCACUGGAGAUGCACAAAAGAUCUAGAACAUUUUCUUGAAUUUGCUGAAGAUAAUAAGCUGUUCAGUUCAAAGAAGCCCAAAACAACUGCAGGCUGUUGCCAAAGGAUUCUGCAAAGCCAAGCUACUGAGCAAUAAAGAGGCAGAUAUAUUUGAAGUUGAUAAGUACAGUUUGACAUGUGUUUGGAAAAGAAAUCUACAUACUAUAUUCAUAAUGUUUGCUCAAAGCUCUGUACUGGUCAAGCAAAUAAGAUGAAUGGUAGGAAACACUAUGAAGAAAAUAGCAGCGGCAAACUUCAUUAUAUCAUUAUUUAAACCUAUUGUGACCAGAACUUCAAUAUAUGCAGUUCUAUCUCUUUGGUUUUGAAAAGUACUUUGGAGCACUGAAAAAGGUUGGAAAGAUGAUCAUAGUACCAGUUUAUGUAGGAAAAAUGACUGCAGAGGAGCACUUCAGCUUGGAAAAACAAAACUGAGAGACAAAUGUAAUGAAUAUGAUGAAAACAUGAGCAGAAAGAAGAAACAGAAAAUUAUUGUUCACUGAGUCUCACAAUAUCAGAAUGACAUCAAAUCUAACUCAGAUGUCUCAAACUCAAAGAGAAGAGGAAUUUCAGUGUGCUAUGAAUAGUUAAACCCCACACUUAAUUGUCACAGGAAGCUCAUGGGGUAGAUGCCAAAUUUUACACGUGUUCAGAAAGUAGGCCUGAUUGAUCUACGGAAAAAAAGAAAACAUCCAUAAUUACUAACAGGAGUGUGUACAGGACCGGUUCAAAGUGCAGAUCAGUAGAAUGUGGAAGACUUUACCACAGGAAAUAGCACUGUCUAAGAUACCUCUAGCCAUCUGCCCCUGCCAUGACGCUCCUCACUAGCCUUGAUAU
ensembl:lncRNA